GUUAGUGUUCUCUAUACAGUCUCGUAAGCCAGAAGGCAGCACCAACAGUAUACCCUUAGUGCCCUUGCCUUUAUGGAGAUAUUUCAUACAAGGGCAUAGCUAUGCAGAGUUAAAAAAACCACCACCACUAUACUUUCUUGCCUUCUUCUCCAUUCCUUCAAUUCUUUUUCUUCCUCAUUCCUGCUUUUAAGGGAAGGAAGUACAGCAGUUCUGCAUUUAAACAGCUGUAAUAUUACGGCUUUCUUGCCACUUUCCAUCUGAAUCGUUUGUCCACCAGUCUUGAAUGGUAAUACAAUCUAAACCAAUUUCACUGAAGCACACACUGCAAACAAAUCCCUCGCUCCAGUCUCAAUGAAGACUAAUGAAAACAACAAAAGCCGCAAUGAGAGAGCAGUUUUCUCUCUUCACCUAUGGAAAUGGGAGUAAUGGAGGUGAGGCCAGAGAGACGGGCAGAGACCAGAACAUUCAUGGCCACGCAGGAGGUGUUAGAA